GACGAACGCUGGCGGCGUGCUUAACACAUGCAAGUCGAACGGAAAGACCCUGCUGUUGUGGGGUGCUCGAUUGGCGAACGGUUGAGUAACACGUGAGUAACCUGCCCUUGCCUUUGGGAUAACUUCAUGAAACUGGGGCUAAUACCGGAUAGGAGCUCCUGCUUCAUGGUUGGGGUUGGAAAGUUUCGGCGGUUGGGGAUGGACUCGCGGCUUAUCAGCUUGUUGUUGGGUUAGUGGCUUACCAAGGCUUUGACGGGUAGCCGGCCUGAGAGGGUGACCGGCCACAUUGGGAAUGAGAUACAGCCCAGACUGCUACGGGAGGCAGCAGUGGGGAAUAUUGCACGAUGGGCGGAAGCCUGAUGCAGCAACGACGCGUGCGGGAUGACGGCCUGCGGGUUGUAAACCGAUUUCGCCUGUGACGAAGAGUGAGAGAAGGUAAUGGGUAAAGAAGCACCGGCUAACUACGUG
rnacentral:rRNA from 1 species